UUUUGGACAAUGGGCGAAAGCCUGAUCCAGCCAUUCCGCGUGAGUGAAGAAGGCCUUCGGGUUGUAAAGCUCUUUCGCCAGGGAAGAAAACUUAGGCGCUAAUAUCGCUUGAGGUUGACGGUACCUUGAUAAGAAGCACCGGCUAACUACGUGCCAGCAGCCGCGGUAAUACGUAGGAUGCGAGCGUUAAUCGAAAUUACUGGGCGUAAAGCGUGCGCAGGCGGUUUUGUAAGUCAGAUGUGAAAUCCCAGAGCUCAACUUGGGAACUGCGUUUGAAACUAUAAGACUAGAAUAUGUCAGAGGGGGGUAGAAUUCCACGUGUAGCAGUGAAAUGCGUAGAGAUGUGGAGGAAUACCAAUGGCGAAGGCGAGCCCCCUGGGAUAAUAUUGACGCUCAUGCACGAAA
rnacentral:rRNA from 1 species